UACGAAGGGGGCUAGCGUUGCUCGGAAUCACUGGGCGUAAAGGGUGCGUAGGCGGGUUUUUAAGUCAGGGGUGAAAUCCUGGAGCUCAACUCCAGAACUGCCUUUGAUACUGGCGAUCUCGAGUCCGGGAGAGGUGAGUGGAACUGCGAGUGUAGAGGUGAAAUUCGUAGAUAUUCGCAAGAACACCAGUGGCGAAGGCGGCUCACUGGCCCGGCAUUGACGCUGAGGAGCGAAAGCUAGGGGAGCAAACGGG
rnacentral:rRNA from 1 species